CACGUAGGGGGCAAGCGUUGUCCGGAUUUAUUGGGCGUAAAGAGCUCGUAGGCGGCUCAGUAAGUCAGGUGUGAAACCUCCAGGCUCAACCUGGAGACGCCACCUGAUACUGCUGUGGCUAGAGUCCGGUAGGGGGAGCGUGGAAUUCCUGGUGUAGCGGUGAAAUGCGCAGAUAUCAGGAGGAACACCAGCGGCGAAGGCGGCGCUCUGGGCCGGAACUGACGCUGAGGAGCGAAAGCGUGGUAGCAAACAGG
rnacentral:rRNA from 1 species